GGUCCUCAGUAGCUCAGUUGGUAAAGUGUGACACUUGUAAUGCCAGGGUUGUGGGUUCAAAUCCCACAGGGGACCA